AGCUUUUCCAAAACUUCUUUUGCAGCCAUUUGGUAGGAGCUGUGCUGCCAUGGGACCCAAGAAGACUGCUGCUGCAGAGGCCGGCGAGGGGAAGAAGGCGAAGG